GAUGAACGCUAGCUACAGGCUUAACACAUGCAAGUCGAGGGGAAACGGCAUCGAAAGCUUGCUUUUGAUGGGCGUCGACCGGCGCACGGGUGAGUAACGCGUAUCCAACCUGCCCAUCACUUGGGAAUAACCUUGCGAAAGUAAGACUAAUGCCCAAUGACAUCCCACGAAGGCAUCCGAAUGGGAUUAAAGAUUUAUCGGUGAUGGAUGGGGAUGCGUCUGAUUAGCUUGUUGGCGGGGUGACGGCCCACCAAGGCAACGAUCAGUAGGGGUUCUGAGAGGAAGGUCCCCCACAUUGGAACUGGGACACGGUCCAAACUCCUACGGGAGGCAGCAGUGAGGAAUAUUGGUCAAUGGGCGAGAGCCUGAACCAGCCAAGUAGCGUGCAGGAUGACGGCCCUAUGGGUUGUAAACUGCUUUUAUAAGGGAAUAAAGUGGGUCACGUGUGACUUUUUGCAUGUACCUUAUGAAUAAGGACCGGCUAAUUCCGUG
rnacentral:rRNA from 1 species